rnacentral:rRNA from 1 species
UACGUAGGGUGCAAGCGUUAAUCGGAAUUACUGGGCGUAAAGCGUGCGCAGGCGGUUAUGUAAGACAGAUGUGAAAUGCCCGGGCUUAACCUGGGAACUGCAUUUGUGACUGCAUGGCUAGAGUUUGGCAGAGGGGGGUAGAAUUCCACGUGUAGCAGUGAAAUGCGUAAAUAUGUGGAGGAACACCGAUGGCGAAGGCAGCCCCCUGGGUCAAGACUGACGCUCAUGCACGAAAGCGUGGGGAGCAAACAGG